GUGGGUUGAAGAAUUGAAGAAAAGCAUGCAAAAGUGGAGAAUUCAUGAAGAAGUGAAGGAUUUGUAGAGCUGCCAAUUCUAACCUCUUUGUACUAAAGUGAUCAUAACUUAAGC